AAUCACCUACUCCUCCACCCUCAGAACAUCCGCAGACCAAGUAUUACACCACAGAAAAACCUCUGAAAACUGUUGCGCAAUCAAGCACAAAAAAUAUGAUCAAAAGCACAACAAGCAAAAAAACCACAACUCAAGGACAAAACAAUGGCAAAAACAAUCUAGCAAGUGAGUAGCUAUUUUUCUUUAUUGUCAAUGUCUAUUCAUAUUUUUAUUUAAGUGUCCUUGUUUAUUUUGAAUAGACAGAUAAAAAUAUAUACGUUCUUAAUUGACCUAAUUUUUUUUUUUUUUUUUUUUUUUUUUUACUUUCUCUAGUAGUCUUACUACAUUGUGCCUCUCUGGGAUAGUAGUUUACUGUUGCCUUCAAAAGAACUCCAGGAAGUACUCUGUGGACUUACAUCCCAAACAAGAUGCUCAGAUCCCACUCAGCACAAUGGAUAUAGAGGUGUUUGACACCACAUCAGUCAAAGAUAUACAAACAUUCACUCCUGUCGAGUCCACCGAGCCACUUAAAGACCCUGCGCCCGUGAAGGAAGCUGAAAAACCUGAGGGAGGGAAAGAAUCAGCUGAUGUUAAACAAGAAAUCCAACAGAAUUUAUCCAGCACUCAGGCCACAGUGAACACAAAGGAUCAAACGGAUGGGCUGGCCGCAGUGGAUCUGACUGAUGGAGAACUGACGAUCUCCACCAAAACCUCAAUGGAAUCCCUAGAUGAUGUUCUCAACGAAAACAACUGCAACAAUACAGGAGCUGAAGGUUAG
rnacentral:lncRNA from 1 species